rnacentral:rRNA from 2 species
UCUGGUGUCAGCCGCCGCGGUAAAACCAGCACCUCAAGUGGUCAGGAUGAUUAUUGGGCCUAAAGCAUCCGUAGCCGGCUCUGUAAGUUUUCGGUUAAAUCUGUAUGCUCAACAUACAGGCUGCCGGGAAUACUGCAGAGCUAGGGAGUGGGAGAGGUAGACGGUACUCGGUAGGAAGGGGUAAAAUCCUUUGAUCUAUUGAUGACCACCUGUGGCGAAGGCGGUCUACCAGAACACGUCCGACGGUGAGGGAUGAAAGCUGGGGGAGCAAACCGGAUUAGAUACCCGGGUAGUCCCAGCUGUAAACUAUGCAAACUCAGUGAUGCAUUGGCUUGUGGCCAAUGCAGUGCUGCAAGGAAGCCGUUAAGUUUGCCGCCUGGGAAGUACGUACGCAAGUAUGAAACUUAAAGGAAUUGGCGGGGGAGCACCACAAGGGGUGAAGCCUGCGGUUCAAUUGGAGUCAACGCCAGAAAUCUUACCCGGAGAGACAGCAGAAUGAAGGUCAAGUUGAAGACUUUACCAGACAAGCU